GCUUUGGCUGUUUGCUGGAGCAAAAGGGCUUCAGUGUUGGUAAUAUGCCCUAGAGGUAAUCAUAGAGAUGAUUGUAUUACAUUAUAUCCAUGACAUAUUAUGAGUAUAUUGAAUAUCCAUUGAAAGGCAACUUGUAUCGAUUGACAAUUAUGUGAAUUGUUUGUGAAACUCUUUUACUUGUAUGGUUAUUCUAAAGUUGUCCCUGAUCAAUGUGUGUGAGACAUACAAGUAUAUUAGAUCAGCACAAUAUUAGUUGAUGACCAUGUUUCACAGGUCAUGGACAUAGAGAUGUCAAACUAAUAUUGUGGGCACAUGUAUGACAUAGGGCUGGAUAGACCCAACGUGAGAUGUUAUAGUCUCUAUUCACAUCAUAUAUGUUAUGUCCUUAGACCUGAGAUUGUCGUAUGCAUUCGAGAUGUGAAACGACCUACUUAGAGACUAUCAAACGCUACUCCGUAACUGGGUAGCUAUAAAGGUAGUCUUCAGGUUUGUCAGGAAACAUGCUGCGAGGCAUAGUCAAUCAAGAUGGAAUUUGCCCCUCUUGAUUGAGAGAGAUAUCACUGGAUCACUCAAGUGAUUGGAUCAACAAAUGCAUGGCCGUGCUUGGGUUAAGUGUUAACCCACGAGUUGAACCAAAUAUCAUGAGGCAAGGGAGCAACAUGUAUGUGGUGUAGUGGUUCGUCUGAUAUGAUCAUUUGCGUGCAUAUAGGAGUUGUCACGCCUUGCUAGAGGCCGCUGUCAACUAUUGAGCGAGUAGGAGUACUCGGCCCAUGUCUAUGUGUACGUGAACCCAUAGGGUCGCACGCUUAAGGGGCUGGAAGCCUAAUUCGGGUUGGACCCGAAUUAGACAAGGCUUAGGGUUACUAAUGGGCCUCCAACUCGGGAGCACAUUACGGACGCCUAUAUAAGUAGAAGGAGGGGCGCGGCCAGACUUGAUCCACGCCUUUUGNNNNNNNNNNNNNNNNNNNNNNNNNNNNNNNNNNNNNNNNNNNNNNNNNNNNNNNNNNNNNNNNNNNNNNNNNNNNNNNNNNNNNNNNNNNNNNNNNNNNNNNNNNNNNNNNNNNNNNNNNNNNNNNNNNNNNNNNNNNNNNNNNNNNNNNNNNNNNNNNNNNNNNNNNNNNNNNNNNNNNNNNNNNNNNNNNNNNNNNNNNNNNNNNNAAUUCCGCCAUCCGAGUUAAGUGAUACAUGUAAAUCCAAUCAUGUCGAGUUAGAGAUCAAUUAGAUUGAUUGAAUUGAACCCUAGGUCAAGUGCCGGGCGCAUAUGAUGCGCGGCGGUGGUAGAUGGGAUCUACUGCUGGACGCCGGGUUACCGCUGUUCGGUAAAACAGCCAUAACUCUUAAACCGUAACUCGGAUUGAGACGAUUCCCGCGUUGCCGCAUAGGAAACGAAAUUUUAGAUCUGAUUUCGCACCGCUUCGCCGUGAUCGCCGAUUUUAGAAUCGCGAAAAACCUCUUGGAAAAUAGAGUUUUUGCCCCUGCAAGUUUAUGUGUCAGAAUCGCAUAACUCUGUUUUGCAGGAAUUCAUGACUGGUAUAGCCCUUAUGUGUAUGUGAUGCAUGUGUGUAAUUAAUUCAUGGCUUGCACGUCAUGAGGACAAUAUGGCAGGAGCCUUUUGAUAUUGUCAAAAUUAAUGUAAUGGCCUGCGUGCCAAUCUGUGAUGAUACAAUCCGCGAUUAUGUAAUUUUAUUUCACUGCCUUGCGUUAGUGAUUGAUUAAUCAUGGCGGAUUCAUCACAUGAAGGAUGGCAUACGUAAAUCAUGGAGAUGGAGAUCGCCAUGGUGAACAGAAAGAUGGAGAUAGAGAUCCCCAAAAGGAACCAUGGGCUAUACCAAGUCAUACGUGUUUAAUGCCGUUCUUACUACGUUCUACUUUCAUAUGCGAUGAUGUUUUUGUCUACAUAAGCGCGGUAGUGAAGUAGAACGAUCCCUCAGCAAUGUCUAAGUGGAAAUGCUUCCCCAAACCUUGCACUGUCACCGGUCUUGUACAAUUGGUGGUGGGUCUAUGAAAUUAGGGUACCACUAAUUUUCCUUGACUAGACAGGUUUGUAUCGGAUACUUACUGCAUAAGGGUUGGUUGCUUAGACAAAGUCAUCCUAACGGUUAGGGACUUUGAAGCAUGAGAGUUGGGCGUGAGGCAUAGAGAUGCUACCCAACAACAAGAGUCAUAUGAGAUAUGAUUAGCAAGGAGUUGCUUACCGAUUUACCAUGCCUGCUAGCGGUGAUGCUAAAGCUCACUAGUAGACAUGUUAGAUGUGGAUCUUGAAUCACUAAGUAUCAAUAGAGGGAUAUUGAUUUUAGUGGGAGUAGAUUAAUAAAUUGUUUAUUUUGUUUUACUCCGUCUUGGAUAUGUUGUCUUAGUAUUUUGCAUACUUUUGUUGUAGAUCAAUGGCUGCCGCUAACAAGCAACCGUUUUCAUUGCGUUCAAUUCUUGAGAAAGAUAAGUUAAAUGGAACAAACUACGCGGAUUGGAUCCGCAACCUGAGAAUUGUUCUCAGGGCUGAGAAAAAGGAAGAUGUUCUAGACACCCCACUUCCUGAUGAGCCUGCUGAAAAUGCACCCGCUGCUGAGAGAAACGCUUACAAGAAAGCAUCUGAUGCUGAUCUUGAAGUGAGUUGUCUCAUGCUUGCUUCCAUGGAACCAGACCUACAAAUGCAGUUUGAUGGUCACUCGGCGAACGAUAUGAUCGUGGCGCUUGAGGAAAUGUUCCAAACUCAAGCCAGGACUGAAAGGUUCAAUGUCUCCAAGGCUUUGGUUGAAACUAAGCUAGCAGAAGGCGCAGCGGUUGGACCACACGUGAUCAAGUUAGUUGGUUACACAAACAGGUUGGAGAAGCUAGGCUUCCCAAUUGGCGAUGAAUUAGCCACUGAUUUCAUUCUUGCAUCGCUUCCGCCUAGCUAUGGGAACUUCAUCUCGAACUACCAUAUGCAUGGGGCCGAGAAGGGCUUGAAUGAGCUGUGUGGGAUGCUUAAGCAAGCAGAGGCAGACAUCAAGAAGGGUGCUAGCAGUAGCCAUGUGAUGGCAAUCCAGAACAAGCCUAACUUUAAGAAGAAGGGCAAUGCGUGGAGGAAGAAAAAGGGCAAGGCUAAAGGUGAGACCUCUAAGCCAAACCCACCUGCACCUAAGGCUGGACCAACUGCGAGCACCAAGUGCUUUCACUGUGGUGGGGAAGGUCACUGGAAGAGAAACUGCAAGGUGUACUUGGAGUCCAUAAAGGAUCGUGGCAGUAAAGGUACUUCCACUCGUACAUUUGUUGUUUAUAUUACAGAUAUUUUUCUCGCUCAAUCUUAUAUCAAUUCUUGGGUAUUUGAUACCGGAUCGGUUGCUCAUAUUUGCAAUACGAUGCAGGGGAUGAUAAGAAGUAGGAGCGUGGAGAAGGGAGAAGUUGAUUUCCGCGUGGGCAACAAUGCAAGAGUUGCUGCGUUGAACGUCGGGAUAAAGCAGCUUCACCUUCCUUCAGGAUUUAUUUUGGAGUUGAAUAAUUGUUAUUUUAUUCCUAGCUUGAGUCGAAACAUUGUGUCGCCUUCAUGUUUGAUGGAGGAUGGUUAUACAUUCGCGAGUAAAGACAAUGGUUGUGUAAUAUCUCGUAAUGGCAUGUUUGUGGCUUCUGCUUCCAUUGUGAAUGGGUUAUUUAUUUUAAAUCUUGAUGAUUCACCUAUCUGUAAUAUAAGUGCUAAAAAGCCUCGGCUUAAUGAGUUAAGUCCUACCUAUAUGUGGCAUUGUCGUUUAGGUCAUAUUAGUGAGAAUCGCAUGAAGAGGCUCCAUAAUGAUGGACUUCUAACUUCGUUUGAUUUCGAAUCUUACGAGACAUGUGAGGCUUGCUUGCUUGGAAAGAUGACUAAAACGCCUUUCACAGGUUUUCCUGAGAGGGCGAUUGACUUGUUGGAACUUAUACAUAGUGAUGUGUGUGGACCAAUGAGCACGACAGCUAGAGGCGGAUUCGAAUACUUUGUAACCUUCACUGAUGAUUUUAGUAGAUAUGGUUAUGUCUACCUAAUGAAACACAAGUCUGAAACCUUCGAAAAGUUCAAGGAAUUUCAGAACGAAGUAGAGAAUCAACGUGGCAAGAAAAUUAAAGCUUUACGAUCUGAUCGUGGAGGUGAAUAUUUGAGCCACGAAUUUAGCAACCAUCUAAAGAGUUGCGGAAUUGUUCCACAGCUUACGCCGCCUGGAACGCCACAGAGAAACGGUGUGUCCGAGCGACGUAAUCGGACUUUGUUAGACAUGGUUCGGUCUAUGAUGAGCCAGACAGACCUUCCACUAUCGUUUUGGGGAUACGCUCUAGAAACAGCCGCUUUCACACUAAAUAGGGUACCGUCUAAGUCCGUAGUUAAGACACCAUAUGAGAUGUGGACUGGUAAGAGUCCCAGUUUGUCUUUUCUAAAAAUUUGGGGUUGUGAAGUUUAUGUUAAACGACUUAUGUCAGAUAAGUUAACACCCAAAUCGGACAAGUGCUUCUUCGUGGGAUACCCAAAGGAAACUUUAGGGUAUUACUUCUAUAACCGAUCAGAGGGCAAAGUGUUUGUUGCUCGGAAUGGUGUUUUCUUAGAGAAAGAGUUUCUCAAAAGAGAGAAAAGUGGACAAAAGGUGUAUCUUGAAGAAGUUCAAGAUGAGCCGACAGGAAACGACUCCAAAAGUGAUGCUAAUGUAGCAGAACAAGAUGAGAUACCUGUGGCACCACCACAACCACGAAGGUCUACAAGAGUCAUAACCCCAUCGGUAAGACUUCGUGAAGCACGAGGGGAGCUGUUGUUGUUAGACAAUGACGAGCCAGCGACUUAUGCGGGAGCAGUGAUGGGCCCAGAUUCUGAGAGAUGGCAAAGUGCCAUGAGAUCCGAGAUAGAUUCCAUGGAUGCCAAUCAAGUUUGGAACUUGGUUGAUCCACCUGAUGGUGUUAGACCCAUCGAGUGCAAAUGGAUCUAUAAAAAGAAAAGGGAUAUGGAUGGAAAUGUUCAAGUCUAUAAAGCUCGACUUGUCGCAAAGGGUUUCCGGCAAGUUCAAGGAAUUGACUACGAUGAGACAUUCUCUCCAGUAGCGAUGCUUAAAUCUAUCCGGAUCAUUCUAGCAAUAGCUGCUUAUUUCGAUUAUGAGAUUUGGCAGAUGGAUGUUAAAACAGCCUUUCUAAAUGGAAAUUUAGAAGAGGACGUGUAUAUGAUACAGCCCGAAGGUUUUGUUGAUCCAAAUAAUGCUAGAAAAAUAUGCAAGCUAAAAAAAUCUAUUUAUGGGUUAAAGCAAGCAUCUCGGAGUUGGAACAUUCGUUUUGAUGAGGUUGUCAAAGGGUUUGGCUUCCGUCAGAAUGAAGAAGAGCCUUGCGUUUAUCAAAAGGCUAGUGGGAGCGCUGUUGUGUUUCUGAUCUUGUAUGUGGAUGACAUACUAUUGAUUGGGAAUGACAUUUCUAUGUUGCAAUCUGUAAAGACUUCAAUGAAUAAUAGUUUUUCUAUGAAGGAUUUAGGAGAUGCAGCAUACAUCUUGGGUAUUAAGAUCUAUAGAGAUAGGUCGAAGAGGCUAAUAGGAUUAUGCCAAGAUACGUACAUUGACAAGGUGUUGAAACGGUUCAACAUGGAGCAGUCCAAGAAAGGGUUCUUGCCUAUGUCACAUGGUAUGCGUUUUAGCGACAAGCAGUGUCCUUCAUCAGAUGAAGAGCGCAAACGCAUGAGUAAGGUUCCAUAUGCUUCAGCAGUUGGUUCCAUCAUGUAUGCCAUGAUAUGUACUCGCCCAGAUGUCUCAUAUGCUCUAAGUGUUGCGAGCAGGUACCAAGCUAAUCCUGGUGAGAGUCACUGGACGCUUGUUAAAAACAUUCUUAAGUACUUGAGAAGGACUAAGGAUGAGUUCCUAAUCUAUGGAGGUGAGGAGGAGCUCGUUGUAAAUGGUUACACCGAUGCUAGCUUCCAAACUGAUGUAGAUGAUUCACAAUCUCAAUCAGGUUUUGUGUUCACAAUAAAUGGUGGUGCAGUUAGCUGGAAAAGUUCCAAGCAGGAGACAGUGUCUGAUUCUACAGCAGAAGCCGAGUACAUUGCAGCUUCUGAAGCUGCAAAGGAAGGUGUUUGGAUGAGACGGUUCCUCAUUGAGCUUGGUGUGUUUCCUAAUGCGGCUAGCCCAUUGAAUCUACAUUGUGACAACAAUGGGGCAAUAGCGCAGGCUAAGGAGCCAAGGAAUCACCAGAAGAACAAACAUGUACUUCGGAAAUUUCACCUCAUUCGUCAGUUCAUCAAAAGAGGUGAAAUUAAAAUGUGCAAGAUACACACGGAUUUGAAUGUAGCAGAUCCGUUGACAAAGGCCCUUCCACAGCCUAAGCAUGAGGCGCACAUGAGGUCUAUGGGUAUUAGACAUCUUAGAGAUUAACUCUAGUGCAAGUGGGAGACUGUUGGUAAUAUGCCCUAGAGGUAAUCAUAGAGAUGAUUGUAUUACAUUAUAUCCAUGACAUAUUAUGAGUAUAUUGAAUAUCCAUUGAAAGGCAACUUGUAUCGAUUGACAAUUAUGUGAAUUGUUUGUGAAACUCUUUUACUUGUAUGGUUAUUCUAAAGUUGUCCCUGAUCAAUGUGUGUGAGACAUACAAGUAUAUUAGAUCAGCACAAUAUUAGUUGAUGACCAUGUUUCACAGGUCAUGGACAUAGAGAUGUCAAACUAAUAUUGUGGGCACAUGUAUGACAUAGGGCUGGAUAGACCCAACGUGAGAUGUUAUAGUCUCUAUUCACAUCAUAUAUGUUAUGUCCUUAGACCUGAGAUUGUCGUAUGCAUUCGAGAUGUGAAACGACCUACUUAGAGACUAUCAAACGCUACUCCGUAACUGGGUAGCUAUAAAGGUAGUCUUCAGGUUUGUCAGGAAACAUGCUGCGAGGCAUAGUCAAUCAAGAUGGAAUUUGCCCCUCUUGAUUGAGAGAGAUAUCACUGGAUCACUCAAGUGAUUGGAUCAACAAAUGCAUGGCCGUGCUUGGGUUAAGUGUUAACCCACGAGUUGAACCAAAUAUCAUGAGGCAAGGGAGCAACAUGUAUGUGGUGUAGUGGUUCGUCUGAUAUGAUCAUUUGCGUGCAUAUAGGAGUUGUCACGCCUUGCUAGAGGCCGCUGUCAACUAUUGAGCGAGUAGGAGUACUCGGCCCAUGUCUAUGUGUACGUGAACCCAUAGGGUCGCACGCUUAAGGGGCUGGAAGCCUAAUUCGGGUUGGACCCGAAUUAGACAAGGCUUAGGGUUACUAAUGGGCCUCCAACUCGGGAGCACAUUAGGGACGCCUAUAUAAGUAGAGGGAGGGGCGCGGCCAGACUUGAUCCACGCCUUUUGGCAGCCGCCGUCGCCCUCCACGCUCGCGCCUUCGCUUCUCGCGGACCUAGCAGUCCGGAGGCGCAUCGCUUCUUCCCGUACGUGUGGGACACCUCGGAGGUGCUGCAUCUGGAGCACGAGGACGAACCGCAAGUGGUGGGAGGACUUGCUGGACGACCACGCAACUGCACGGCACUGCUACGACGUGUUCGACUACAUCGAGUCGUCUUCCGCUGCAUCUACACGUCGAGUGGUAUAUCCGUAACCUAUCUCUAGCAGUAGAUCCUGGAUUAUGGGGCGAAAAUUUUGAUUUUCUGGUUAGCGUAGCGUCCUCGUAACUCUACAUUCAGACCCUAUGGCUUGAGUUGAGAGAGGUCCGCUCUUAGUGAUCCGAUUUGCUGGUGUGGUCCUAUGAGUAGGUGUGGGGUUGUUUUGUGUUUCUCUUCUUUUCUAUAUAUUCCUCAUUGUGGUCCGAGGUGAGGAAUGUUUUUUUGUUGUAAUUGGACCUUUCUUUCUCUCUUAAUAUAAAGAUACGCAGAUCUCCUGCGUGUUCGAUAAAAAAAA
rnacentral:lncRNA from 1 species